UGCGAUGGGGGCACCCUUGUUCCGCAACUGCCGCGUUGAGUUGAAGAAGGCCUUCGGGCUGUAAAGCCCUUCUGUCAGGGAAGAAACAGCAGCUCUAACACAGUCUGCGAAUGACGGUACCUGAAGAAUAAGCACCGGCUAACCACGCGCCAGCAGCCGCGGUAAUACGCAGGGUGCGAGCGCUAAUCGGAAUCACUGGGCGUAAAGCGUGCGCAGGCGGUUAUACAAGACAGGCGUGAAAUCCCCGGGCUUAACCUGGGAAUGGCGCCUGUGACUGUAUAGCUAGAGUGUGUCAGAGGGGGGUAGAAUUCCACGUGUAGCAGUGAAAUGCGUAGAUAUGUGGAGGAAUACCAAUGGCGAAGGCAGCCCCCUGGGAUAACACUGACGCUCAUGCACGAAA
rnacentral:rRNA from 1 species